rnacentral:rRNA from 2 species
UCAGGAUGAACGCUGGCGGCGUGCCUAAUACAUGCAAGUCGAACGAAACUUCUUUAUCACCGAGUGCUUGCACUCACCGAUAAAGAGUUGAGUGGCGAACGGGUGAGUAACACGUGGGCAACCUGCCCAAAAGAGGGGGAUAACACUUGGAAACAGGUGCUAAUACCGCAUAACCAUAGUUACCGCAUGGUAACUAUGUAAAAGGUGGCUAUGCUACCGCUUUUGGAUGGGCCCGCGGCGCAUUAGCUAGUUGGUGAGGUAAAGGCUUACCAAGGCAAUGAUGCGUAGCCGAACUGAGAGGUUGAUCGGCCACAUUGGGACUGAGACACGGCCCAAACUCCUACGGGAGGCAGCAGUAGGGAAUCUUCCACAAUGGGCGAAAGCCUGAUGGAGCAACGCCGCGUGGGUGAAGAAGGUCUUCGGAUCGUAAAACCCUGUUGUUAGAGAAGAAAGUGCGUGAGAGUAACUGUUCACGUUUCGACGGUAUCUAACCAGAAAGCCACGGCUAACUACGUGCCAGCAGCCGCGGUAAUACGUAGGUGGCAAGCGUUAUCCGGAUUUAUUGGGCGUAAAGGGAACGCAGGCGGUCUUUUAAGUCUGAUGUGAAAGCCUUCGGCUUAACCGGAGUAGUGCAUUGGAAACUGGGAGACUUGAGUGCAGAAGAGGAGAGUGGAACUCCAUGUGUAGCGGUGAAAUGCGUAGAUAUAUGGAAGAACACCAGUGGCGAAAGCGGCUCUCUGGUCUGUAACUGACGCUGAGGUUCGAAAGCGUGGGUAGCAAACAGGAUUAGAUACCCUGGUAGUCCACGCCGUAAACGAUGAAUGCUAAGUGUUGGAGGGUUUCCGCCCUUCAGUGCUGCAGCUAACGCAAUAAGCAUUCCGCCUGGGGAGUACGACCGCAAGGUUGAAACUCAAAGGAAUUGACGGGGGCCCGCACAAGCGGUGGAGCAUGUGGUUUAAUUCGAAGCAACGCGAAGAACCUUACCAGGUCUUGACAUCUUCUGACAAUCCUAGAGAUAGGACUUUCCCUUCGGGGACAGAAUGACAGGUGGUGCAUGGUUGUCGUCAGCUCGUGUCGUGAGAUGUUGGGUUAAGUCCCGCAACGAGCGCAACCCUUAUUGUUAGUUGCCAGCAUUAAGUUGGGCACUCUAGCAAGACUGCCGGUGACAAACCGGAGGAAGGUGGGGAUGACGUCAAAUCAUCAUGCCCCUUAUGACCUGGGCUACACACGUGCUACAAUGGACGGUACAACGAGUCGCAAGACCGCGAGGUUUAGCAAAUCUCUUAAAGCCGUUCUCAGUUCGGAUUGUAGGCUGCAACUCGCCUACAUGAAGUCGGAAUCGCUAGUAAUCGCGGAUCAGCAUGCCGCGGUGAAUACGUUCCCGGGCCUUGUACACACCGCCCGUCACACCAUGAGAGUUUGUAACACCCAAAGCCGGUGGGGUAACCUUUUGGAGCCAGCCGUCUAAGGUGGGACAGAUGAUUGGGGUGAAGUCGUA